rnacentral:rRNA from 1 species
GACGAACGCUGGCGGCGUGCUUAACACAUGCAAGUCGAACGGAAAGGCCCUGCUUUUGUGGGGUGCUCGAGUGGCGAACGGGUGAGUAACACGUGAGUAACCUGUCCUUGACUUUGGGAUAACUUCAGGAAACUGGGGCUAAUACCGGAUAGGAGCUCCUGCUGCAUGGUGGGGGUUGGAAAGUUUCGGCGGUUGGGGAUGGACUCGCGGCUUAUCAGCUUGUUGGUGGGGUAGUGGCUUACCAAGGCUUUGACGGGUAGCCGGCCUGAGAGGGUGACCGGCCACAUUGGGACUGAGAUACGGCCCAGACUCCUACGGGAGGCAGCAGUGGGGAAUAUUGCACAAUGGGCGGAAGCCUGAUGCAGCAACGCCGCGUGCGGGAUGACGGCCUUCGGGUGGUAAACCGCUUUCGCCUGUGACGAAGCGUGAGUGACGGUAAUGGGGAAAGAAGCACCGGCUAACUACGU